GACGAACGCUGGCGGCGUGCUUAACACAUGCAAGUCGAACGAAAAGGCCCUGCUUUUGUGGGGUGCUCGUGUGGCGAACGGGUGAGUAACACGUGAGUAACCUGCCCUUGACUUUGGGAUAACUUCAGGAAACUGGGGCUAAUACCGGAUAGGAGCUCCUGCUGCAUGGUGGGGGUUGGAAAGUUUCGGCGGUUGGGGAUGGACUCGCGGCUUAUCAGCUUGUUGGUGGGGUAGUGGCUUACCAAGGCUUUGACGGGUAGCCGGCCUGAGAGGGUGACCGGCCACAUUGGGACUGAGAUACGGCCCAGACUCCUACGGGAGGCAGCAGUGGGGAAUAUUGCACAAUGGGCGGAAGCCUGAUGCAGCAACGCCGCGUGCGGGAUGACGGCCUUCGGGUUGUAAACCGCUUUCGCCGGUGACGAAGCGUGAGUGACGGUAAUGGGUAAAGAAGCAACGGCUAACUACGUG
rnacentral:rRNA from 1 species